UGGCGGCAGCGGACCGUGGAGGCCGGGUGCAGCCCCGUCGGCUGCGCGCUCUCUGCAGAAAAGGAUUUUCUACGCUCCCCGCCCAUCACUUGGAUCUCGUCUGGGGAGGGGCGGAUUUUUUUUCUGGAAGUACCCUUCUUCUCCACGGUGGAGGAUUUAAGGCUGGGCUCCAAUCGAGGCGGAGGCUGCAGGGCCCGCGGGGCGCCCCCCGCCCGGCGCACGCCUGCCCGGAGCCCGGGAAGGCGCAGCCCUGGGUGGGGGGGCCCGUGCACCCCCGGAGGCGGCAGCGGCGAUAAACCUGCCAGUAAUUUCAGCAAAUGAAACGUGGAACACGUCAAGGCCAGAGGAUGGAAAAGGCUCCAGUUUUGAUAAAAGGAGGCCUGCUUGGCUUGGAAUCCUCUCUCCUGCUGGUUGGGAGAUGCAAAGAUGUUUCCAGAGAGGGGCUGAUGAAUUGAGGGGAAAGAAAUGAGCCCAGUAUGAGUCCCCUUUCAGGGCUGAGCGGGUAUAAAACCAAACAACUUGGAACCGCUCCAAGAGAGGGGAUUAAAGCAACAUGUUAUUCUGAGUGAUUGCUUAAUUUAUUGAGCUGCGGCUGGAUCUGUAAUGAAAUACAGCCCUUGUAACUGAUAACCUCCUGCUGCCAUUGAACUUCUACAAUUAAGGAAUAUUUUCUGAGUUUCUCUGGAACGGCUCUGAAUUUUUAGCCUCUGUGGUAGGGUGCUUCUGAACAUUUGUUUUCCAGGCAAUUUUUUUUUAGUAUUAGGCUGAUGUUAAUAAAUAAGCAGCAUUUUAUUGAGUGUUUUGUGGGAACCAGGAACUUUAUAUACAUUGUUUCUAAUCCUGACACUAAUCCUGUCAAUAUCCAGUGAAAUAACUCCUAUUAUUCCCUAUUUUACAGAUGUGAAGCCACGGGAUGUUAGGUCAUUUUCUAGAGUGGUGCUGUCCAAGACAGUAGCUGUGAUGGCUCCUUGUGGCUAUUGAUGUGUAAAUUAGUUAAAAUUAAAUAAAUUUUAACAUUUACACCCUAGGUUGCACUAACAAUGAGUUCAAGUGCCCAGCAGCCCCGUGUACUGUGGCUGAUGGCUACCACAUUGGACAGUGCAGAUAUAGACCAUUUGAAGGUUACACAAGUGCUGUUGGUCAGCACUGACUUAGAUUUCCUUUUUUUUUUUUGAGAUGGAGUCUCGCUCUAUUGUCCAGUUUGGAGUGCAGUGGUGCAAUCUCGGCUCACUGCAACCUCCGCCUCCUGGGUUCAAGUGAUUCUCCUGCCCCAGCCUCCUGAGUAGCUGGGACUACAGGAGCAUGCCACCAUGCCCAGCUAAUUUUUGUAUUUUUAAUAGAGAUGGGGUUUCACUGGCCAGGCUGGUCUCGAACUCCUGACCUCAGGGGAUCCACCUGCCUCAGCCUCUCAAAGUGUUGGGAUUACAGGUGUGAGCCACCACACCCAGCCAGGUUCAGAUUUCAUAGCUAGAACCUGGCAGUGCCAGAAUUCAAGCCGAAGCUAAUGGGCUUUGAAGGCAGAGUUCAUCUGCCAGCCUUGUUGCUUCUUUUUCUUCCCUCUGCUGAGAAGCAAGGAACAGAGCAGUGACUGUAACCCCCUGGCUACACAUUAGAAUUACCUGCAAUUCUUUUUUUUUUUUUUGAGACGGAGUCUCACUCUGUAACCCAGGCUGGAGUGCAGUGGUGUGAUCUUGGCUCACUGCAACCUCCACCUCCCAGGUUCAAGCAAUUCUCCUGCCUCAGCCUUCCAAGUAGCCGGGAUUAUAGGCACACACCACAACGCCCAGCUAAUUUUUGUAUCUUUAGUAGAGAUGGGGUUUCGCCAUGUUGGCCAGGCUGGUCUCGAACUCCUGACGUCAGGUGAUCCACCCUCCUUGACCUCCCAAAGUGUUGGGAUUACAAGCAUGAGCCACCGCACCCGGCCUACCUACAAUUCUUUUUUUUUGAGAUGGAGUCUCGCUGUCUCCCAGGCUGGAGUGCAGUGGCGCGAUCUCAGCUCACUGCAAGCUCUACAUCCCAGGUUCAUGUCAUUCUCCUGCUUCAGCCUCCCGAGUAGCUGGGACUACAGGCACCCGCCACCACGCCCAGCUAAUUUUUUGUAUUUUUAGUAGAGACGGGGUUUCACCAUGUUAGCCAGGAUGGUCUCAAUCUCCUGACCUCCUGAUCCUACCACCUCGGCUUCCCAAAGUGCUGGAAGCUGUGAGCUUUUUCCCAAAGUGCUGGAAGCUGUGAGCCGCCACGCCUGGCCCCUGCAAUUCUUUAAAAAAAACGAUGGUAGGGUCCCAGGCCCAGAUAAUCUGACUUCACUGUGAUUAAGCCGGGUUGGGACAGGCAUCAGAGGUUUUUCUACUUCCCCAUGUGAUGCCACUGUGCAGCCAGCACGUAGAGCAGCUAGGCGUGAGGACCCACACAGAGGACGCUGGAAGCAGCUGGUUCAUCUGCCAGGAGAAUGCAGUAUCUUGUGACCAAGAAGUGGGCUUCUCCCAGGGCCACUUCUAAACCACCUCAUCAGAGAGCUCAGGUUCAUAUGCGAGGGAAGAAACUGAAGUGCUUUCUCACACGCUUCCAGCUUGAUGAGAAUCACAGUAGGGAGCUUUGCUUUUCCAAACAGGCUUUGUCACAUGAUCAUGGAAGAAAGGAGAUGCCCACGUAAGAUCACAGAGACAAGGUGAAAAACCCGUAGCCCCGAAUUGGAAUUGGAAGCAUCAGUAUGAAUUCAUGCUAUAUUUUUGUCUUACAAAGUAAAGCAGGUGUUUGCUAGCUCUGUCAACCAUAAAGUUUAGAAAUAAUGAGCCAUCCAAUAGCAGUGAACACCCCAGCACCCAGGUUAUGGUGUCUAAACGCCACUUCCGACUAGGAAUGAGGGCAUGGAGAAAUAACCAAUUCCAGGUCUGAGGCAAGAAAAAAAAUUCAAGAUGAGCCUGGAACAUCUGGUCAUUCCUUGCUUCCUUGAUAGCAGGGAAGGUGAGGGUCACAUUGAAAAGGAUGCAGGAGACAACAUGGAGCGGCUCCCAAUGGGGAGAGUUUGAGCAUCAUUAACAAUAAUGGGCCGAGCGCGGUGGCUCACGUCUGUAAUCCCAGCACUUUGGGAGGCCGAGGUGGGUGGAUCACAAGGUCAGGAGAUGGAGACCAUCCUGGCUAACACAGUGAAACCCCGUCUCUACUAAAAAUACAAAAAAUUAGCCGGGUGUGGUGGUGGGGCACCUGUAGUCCCAGCU
rnacentral:lncRNA from 1 species